ACGCAUCAUGAUGAAACUGAUGGUAAUCAAGGGAGAGUGGAACAAUUCUGUAAUAAUGCAACUGUAAACGAGAAUUUGCUUCCCGGUAGAAACUCUGAUGGCAAUAAUGCAGGAUCAAUAGGUGAAUGCUCACAUUCAUUUGGUCAAGCCUUAUAUCAAAAAAGCAAGCAAGGAUCAAUUGUGACGUAUGAAGAUUCGGGCGAUAACAUUUAUACAUGUGAUCAAGAGAGAAGCCGUAGCUAAGGUAAACAAGCUGCAGCAGCCAAGGUGUAUACUAAGAGCAACUCCAACAGCUUCCCUAUAAUUUUUGUAUAAUAGGGAAGUACAAGUCAAAGCUUUAGCAUCUUUUUCUUCUUCAACUCCAACAAAUUCCCUAUUUUACAGCAAUCUCUAAAAUCUCCAUAUUUUUCCUUAAAAUUUUAGAGAUUGCUGUAAAUAUAGGGAAUUUGGUUUUCUCUUUCCUCACUUUCCCUAAAAUAGAGAUAGUUAUAGGGAAUCUGUUGGAGCAAAAGAGGCUCAUUUUUCCCUAAAGUAGAGAAAAUUCAAAAUAUGGGGAAGCUGUUGGAGUUGCUCCAAAAAGAACAGAAUUAUAAACUCAUCUAAGAGGUUGUAAUUACUUCUCAACAACCUCGAUACCAUUCUUUUCCUUCUGUAGUUUGCUUUUGUAGCAGCAUCUAGAAAAGUGCCCGCUGAGCAUUUAUGUUUAGUGAAUGUAGCUUUACAAUCCGAGAGUAUAUAUUGGGAAUUAAAAUUGAGCAUUUGUUUAACGGCUUCAAUACCAUUCUUUCCUUCUGUA